rnacentral:rRNA from 1 species
GAUGAACGCUGGCGGCGUGCUUAACACAUGCAGGUCGAACGAUUAAGACCCCUUCGGGGGUGUAUAGAGUGGCGAACGGGUGAGUAACACGUGGGCAACCUGCCCCUUCCUCUGGGAUAACACGGAGAAAUCCGUGCUAAUACCGGAUACUCCAUAUCUGCGGCAUCGCGGAUAUGGGAAAGCUCCGACGGGAAGGGACGGGCCCGCGGUCCAUUAGCUAGUCGGUGGGGUAACGGCCUACCGAGGCGACGAUGGAUAGCCGGGUUGAGAGACCGACCGGCCACAUUGGGACUGAGACACGGCCCAGACUCCUACGGGAGGCAGCAGUGGGGAAUUUUGCGCAAUGGGGGAAACCCUGACGCAGCAACGCCGCGUGCGGGAUGAAGGCCUUCGGGUUGUAAACCGCUUUCAGCAGGGAAGAAUACAGACGGUACCUGCAGAAGAAGCUCCGGCUAACUACGUGCCAGCAGCCGCGGUAA